rnacentral:rRNA from 1 species
UACGAAGGGGGCUAGCGUUGCUCGGAAUCACUGGGCGUAAAGGGCGCGUAGGCGGAUCUUUAAGUUAGAGGUGAAAGCCUGGAGCUCAACUCCAGAACUGCCUUUAAUACUGGGGAUCUUGAGUUCGGGAGAGGUGAGUGGAACUGCGAGUGUAGAGGUGAAAUUCGUAGAUAUUCGCAAGAACACCAGUGGCGAAGGCGGCUCACUGGCCCGAUACUGACGCUGAGGCGCGAAAGCGUGGGGAGCAAACAGG